GAGAGAGAGAGAGAGAGAGAGAGACAUGGAGAGAGAGAGAGAGCGAGAGAGGGAGAGAGAGAGAGAGAGAGACAUGGAGAGGGAGCGAGACGCUGAGUCUGAGCGCUGGCUCUUAAUUACCUGCUAUACAGAAGAGAGAGUGAUUUAGGAAGGAGAGGAGCCAGGGUUUUGAGGUCUGGAGACAGAGACAGUACUGCUGUCAGUGUAAAGGAUAUGAGGUCUGGAGACAGAGACAGUACUGCUGUCAGUGUAAAGGAUAUGAGGUCUGGAGACAGAGACAGUACUGCUGUCAGUGUAAAGGAUAUGAGGUCUGGAGACAGAGACAGUACUGCUGUCAGUGUAAAGGAUAUGAGGUCUGGAGACAGAGACAGUACUGCUGUCAGUGUAAAGGAUAUGAGGUCUGGAGACAGAGACAGUACUGCUGUCAGUGUAAAGGAUAUGAGGUCUGGAGACAGAGACAGUACUGCUGUCAGUGUAAAGGAUAUGAGGUCUGGAGACAGAGACAGUACUGCUGUCAGUGUAAAGGAUAUGAGGUCUGGAGACAGAGACAGUACUGCUGUCAGUGUAAAGGAUAUGAGGUCUGGAGACAGAGACAGUACUGCUG